GGGCGGUUAGCGCAGUGGUAGCGCGUAUGCUUUGCAUGUAUAAGGUCCAGGGUUCAAUCCCCUGAUCGUCCA
rnacentral:tRNA from 1 species